GAAAUGCGAUAAGUAGUGUGAAUUGCAGAAUUCAGUGAAUCAUCGAAUCUCUGAACGCACAUUGCGCCCCUUGGUAUUCCAUGGGGCAUGCCUGUUCGAGCGUCAUUUGUACCCUCAAGCUCUGCUUGGUGUUGGGUGUUUGUCCCGUCUCCGCGCGUGGACUCGCCCCAAAGUGAUUGGCAGCCAGCGUACUGGUCCCGGAGCGCAGCACAUGUCGCGCAAACGAGUGCCUUGGUACGGCGGCGUCCAUAAGCCCCUCUCUCACGCUCUUGACCUCGGAUCAGGUAGGGAUACCCGCUGAACUUAAGC
rnacentral:misc_RNA from 1 species